UACGGAGGGGGCUAGCGUUGUUCGGAAUUACUGGGCGUAAAGCGCACGUAGGCGGACUGUUAAGUCAGGGGUGAAAUCCUGGAGCUCAACUCCAGAACUGCCUUUGAUACUGAAGAUCUUGAGUUCGGGAGAGGUGAGUGGAACUGCGAGUGUAGAGGUGAAAUUCGUAGAUAUUCGCAAGAACACCAGUGGCGAAGGCGGCUCACUGGCCCGAUACUGACGCUGAGGCACGAAAGCGUGGGGAGCAAACAGG
rnacentral:rRNA from 1 species